UACAGGGGGGGCAAGCGUUGUUCGGAAUUACUGGGCGUAAAGGGCUCGUAGGCGGCCGGCUAAGUCCGACGUGAAAUCCCCAGGCUUAACCUGGGAACUGCGUCGGAUACUGGCGGGCUUGAGUUUGGGAGAGGGAUGCGGAAUUCCAGGUGUAGCGGUGAAAUGCGUAGAUAUCUGGAGGAACACCGGUGGCGAAGGCGGCAUCCUGGACCAAUACUGACGCUGAGGAGCGAAAGCCAGGGGAGCAAACGGG
rnacentral:rRNA from 1 species